GAAACAGGUGGCAGCAGUUGGUGUGUGACAAACUGGGGUGUGGGCUCCAGGAAGUGGGACUCCAUGCCCCAAGUCACCUUGUUGAAGAUCCUGGCUUCCAUGAGGAGCAAUGCCCUGAUGCCCUCCUCCUUCGCUCUCUACGGGCUGGCUUCGUCUACCAUCUGUACAGCUGCAGCUCCAAAAUCUCUUCCACAGUCCACACCUCCCACUCAGCUCCAGACCCCAUCACUGCUGCCAGCUGGUCAUCCCCCCGAAGGAGGCUCAGAGUCUACCUCCCAGGCCCUUGGCCACUGAGCUCUUGGAGAGUCCUCUCUCCCUGUGCCCUUUGCAGCUCCACCAACCCAACCACCAGCUCCCUCCUCCAAGCCUCACAUUCUCCACCUCCAGGCUUUGAUCAGGCACAGAACGCCCUUCCAUGGAAUGCCCCUCCAUGCCUGUGUUUCCAACCUACUGAACCUGGUGGACUGACUGCCCGAAUCUGAGACUUAGGUCAGAAGGCACCUCUGUGAAGCCUGC
rnacentral:lncRNA from 1 species